rnacentral:rRNA from 1 species
AUUGAACGCUGGCGGCAGGCCUAACACAUGCAAGUCGAACGAGUGGCGGACGGGUGAGUAAUGUCUGGGAAACUGCCUGAUGGAGGGGGAUAACUACUGGAAACGGUAGCUAAUACCGCAUACCAUCCGAUGAGCCGAGGUGGGAUUAGCUUGCUGGUGGGGUAACGGCACACCAAGGCGACGAUCCCUCGAUGGUCUGAGAGGAUAGCCAGCCACGCUGGAACUGAGACACGGUCCUGACUCCAACGGGAGGCAGCAAUGGAGAAUAUUGCACAAUGGGCGCAAGCCUGAUGCAGCCAUGCCGCGUGUAUGAAGAAGGCCUUCGGGUUGUUAAGUACUUUCAGCGGGGAGGCGUUACCCGCAGAAGAAGCACCGGCUAACUCCGUGCCAGCCGCCGCGGUAAUUC